rnacentral:rRNA from 1 species
GACGAACGCUGGCGGCGUGCUUAACACAUGCCAGUCGAACGGAAAGGCCCUGCUUUUGUGGGGUGCUCGAGUGGCGAACGGGUGAGUAACACGUGAGUAACCUGCCCUUGACUUUGGGAUAACUUCAGGAAACUGGGGCUAAUACCGGAUAGGAGCUCCUGCUGCAUGGUGGUGGUUGGAAAGUUUCGGCGGUUGGGGAUGGACUCGCGGCUUAUCAGCUUGUUGGUGGGGUAGUGGCUUACCAAGGCUUUGACGGGUAGCCGGCCUGAGAGGGUGACCGGCCACAUUGGGACUGAGAUACGGCCCAGACUCCUACGGGAGGCAGCAGUGGGGAAUAUUGCACAAUGGGCGGAAGCCUGAUGCAGCAACCCCGCGUGCGGGAUGACGGCCUUCGGGUUGUAAACCGCUUUCGCCUGUGACGAAGCGUGAGUGACGGUAAUGGGUAAAGAAGCACCGGCUAACUACGUG